rnacentral:rRNA from 1 species
AUUGAACGCUGGCGGCAGGCCUAACACAUGCAAUUCGAACUAGUGGCUGACGGGUGAGUAAUGUCUGGGAACCUGCCUGAUGGCGGGGGAUAACUACUGGACACGGUAGCUAAUACCGCAUACCAUCGGAUGUGCCCAGAUGGGAUUAGCUAGUAGGUGGGGUAACGGCUCACCUAGGCGACGAUCCCUAGCUGGUCUGAGAGGAUGACCAGCCACAAUGGAACGGAGACACGGUCCAGACUCCUACGGGAGGCAGCAGUGGGGAAUAUUGAACAAUGGGCGCAAGCCUGAUGCAGCCAUGCCGCGUGUGUGAAGAAGGCCUUCGGGUUGUAAAGCACUUUCAGCGGGGAGGCGUUACCCGCAGAAGAAGCACAGGAUAACUCCGUGCCAGCAGCCGCGGUAAUAC